rnacentral:rRNA from 1 species
AGUGAACGCUGGCGGUAGGCCUAACACAUGCAAGUCGAACGGCAGCACAGUAAGAGCUUGCUCUUACGGGUGGCGAGUGGCGGACGGGUGAGGAAUACAUCGGAAUCUACUUUUUCGUGGGGGAUAACGUAGGGAAACUUACGCUAAUACCGCAUACGACCUACGGGUGAAAGCAGGGGAUCUUCGGACCUUGCGCGAUUGAAUGAGCCGAUGUCGGAUUAGCUAGUUGGCGGGGUAAAGGCCCACCAAGGCGACGAUCCGUAGCUGGUCUGAGAGGAUGAUCAGCCACAGUGGAACUGAGACACGGUCCAGACUCCUCGGGAGGCAGCAGUGGGGAAUAUUGGACAAAGGGCGCAAGCCUGAUCCAGCCAUACCGCGUGGGUGAAGAAGGCCUUCGGGUUGUAAAGCCCUUUUGUUGGGAAAGAAAAGCAGCAGGUUAAUACCCCGCUGUUCUGACGGUACCCAAAGAAUAAGCACCGGCUAACUUCGUG